ACUCUACAUGCUAAGAGAGAGCUAGAUCCAAAAAGGAACUUGGGCACUGAAAUAUGUUAAAACAUCUCAGUUGCUAAAUUCACCAUCACUAGCUUUCAGCAUCUGGUCCCCAGAGUGGAAUCCCUUGUCCCUCUCGGAGGGAGCACAGAGGAACAUCAAAACUCCCGAGGUGGUCGCCGCGCUGUCUGGAUCCUCGGUCCUUAGCUCCAGCCGCAUGAUGGAUGCUCCAGAGCCACCACCUCGGUGUUUCUGAUGCAGAUAUUCUACACGUUCCUAAGCAUUAUCAGUCCUCUGCUGUGCACUCCUACAAGACAUCUUUCCUGCGAUUUCUGGUUUCAUUAUCUUCUCUAGGAACCUUUUUGUACUGUAAAUUGCUCAAGCUCAGAUGCAAAUGUAGCCUUCUAGAGCCAGAUCCUAGAAUUCAAAUUCAGACAUAAGAGGAUGUGCUCAUCUUUGCUGUGCCCAGGUUUCUCAGGCUGCUGGGUUCAUCUUCAUUUCCUUGAUGGAUGCCUGGACUUCUUACGGAUAUUACAUGCUGCCCUGAGAAUGGAUCCAGUGGGCUGAGACCAAAGCCAAAGGCUGACUUUAUCUACAAAGCGAGACCUUUUAUCAGCUACCUACUGCAACACUGGCAAGGAAUGUCAAAAGAGCUUCUAUUGCAGCCUGUCUUUGAUUUGGUUUAGCCCCAGUGUGCUGGUGCUUUGGCAGGGUGCCCUGGCAGCCUGGUAUUAGCUGACUGCCAGGCACUGGAAGCCCACUGCUUUACUCUAAAAUAAUAAUUCCCCCAAUAAUGCAGGAUUACUCUCAUUGCCAUAAAAAUGAGGAGGUUUUUGUGCUAGUAAAAAAAAAUCUUAAUAUGCCAUUCCUAUUAUCUUGGUUUGAGUUGACAUGGGAAUACAGCUUACUAGCCUUUAACCUACGCCUACUCCCUCCACAUAAUAAUGGGUUCACAUUAAGUAAAUGCCAAAGAAAACUGACUCGAAACAUCUUUCUGACCAGAUGAUGAUUUAUUUUUUAUUCCUAAGUUUACUUCUUAAGUUUUCUUUUGCAUUAUUUUGUCUCUUUUUAAUCCUCUCUGAUGAUAAAAUAGUUCGUUCCCAUCAUUGCAGCUAACCAAGUCAUCAAACCAGUGACCUGUCCUUAUUGUGACAGUUCCCAUUCCCUUCCUUUUUUUCCCACACUAAUCAUAAGAUAAUAAAUUUUAUUUGUAAUUAAAUAACUCCAGAGUUAAAUCUAUGAACAAUCUUUUUCAGUAGGUAUCCUCUCUUCCAGAGGAAUAUCUUGUCAUUAAGCUACAGAAUUCUUCUCACUCUUGCUGCCAUCUGUUACUACAAUGAAUCACAGAGUGGCACUGCUUGACAAAGAGAUAGAGAGGACAAAUCCACCUCAGGAUAACUAAGAGAUGGAAGAUCUGGGAUUGAAUGCUCUCAAGUCAAGGAGGACAAAUAUGCCAGGUGAUUUGUUUGUCUUCUGCAAUUCCCUUUUUAAAGAAAGAAGCGGCUGACCCACAAGCUUUGAAGAAACCAUGUAGGCAUCUGACAGCAGAAGUUACACAGAUUAUAACAAUAAAUUCCAGCCCAGAAUGUGUCACUUUUCUGUCCCAAAUCAGUCACCAAAGUACCAAAGGAUACGGAUCUUCCGAACACCUCUAGCUUUCAUGGACCUUUCAUGGACCUCAUUUUGAGAUGCUUGGUUCUCCUCAGAAGUGCAUGAGGUGCUCCAAAGGCUCACUCAGAUGCAGGGGCUUCAAGCUGAGAGCCACGUGUCUUAGCAUUAGAUACUCCUUGGCAAACAGCACAUUGGCUAUGUUGGUUAUGAAGCCUUAUUUUUUUAGAUUUACUCUAGUUCAAUCACAUAGCAGUUUCUUUUAUUGAAACACAUACAAAUGUAAGAAUAAUCAUGCUGUGCAGUCCAGCACUCCUCAUUGUCAUUUGUAAUUAAAAAAUUGAAAAUAGUAUCAAUUUAUUAUCAAAUUAAUUCAAGGCUAUCCAUUACAAGUCUGUUCCGUAUCUUCUGAGCCACUUAUAUUAAGAUAUACAGCUUAACUGUAUCAUCACUUUUGAAUCAGUUGGCCACUGUUUUCUCCUCCUCCAAAAAGUUGCAGAGUAUUGUCUACAGAUCUAACUGCAUGUGGACCAGAGAACUGACUAAAAUAAGAAUUGACUCUCAAGCUGGUAUUCAAUAGUUUGUCUUUCUUUUUUUUUUUUUUCCACUGGUGUCUACUGUUAUUUUGACUUUACUCUUCAAAGCGACUAACUCAUGCAAACCAGAGAGUUUAUGGUUUGAGCUCUUCUUAAUGCUAAAUGGAUUAAGGUUUCAUGUUGAUUCCAUAUCCCGUAUUUUCCUCAGUGUGAAGAGAAUUGGCUUCCUAUUACCUCCAAAACAUGAGAAGGAAACACAGGCACUAAAAGAUUAAAUGCUGGGCACUGCAAGGUAUUUAGGAGCGCUGCCAAAGGUCAUAGCAGUAGUGCUUGGGAACCUGGAUCUGCUAAGUCCCAGUCCAAAGGCUUCACUGCUGUUCAUCCUUUCUGUUUCUCACAGAAUAGGACGUGUUCAAAGAAAGCUACAUCGGGGCAACCCAACACCCUGCUGCAGGCUGGGUAAUAACCUGGUGUCAGCCUUACAGAGGUUCAGCUACUUGAAAUUAUUCCUUUCUGGAUAUUUCAGAAAAUCCUUUUAAAUGAAUCUUGCUAUAGCUCCCAGAAAUAAGAUACUAGUGCUAUUGCUGAUUUAAAUGAAAAUCACUGCGCUGUCAGUGUGUGCAGUUACCUGGUUUAUUACUUUGAGUUUCAGCCUUCCCUUUCCACUUGCAUGAAUAUCUUUGAUCUCAGCUAAUACCUUCAUUUGGAGAUUCAGACAGCUAUAGUGUAAAUACAAGGGAUGGCAUUGUUUUCAUAAUGAUGGGGGUUUCCUCACCUGGUGUUUCAUUUUUUCUCAUAAUUCAGUUAAAUCAGGUGUUCUCAAUUUCUUAAAUCACCUUCUGCUUGACAAAACCACAAUUUGGAUCAAAAGAGCAAGGGCAGAGAAAUUUUCACCUUCAGAAUUCUGCAUUUAGCUCCAAUUGCUCCUGUCAGUCACUUUCAUUCAAUUAUCUCUCAUAAUUAAAAGCUCGUCUAAAUAGAUAAUGCAGGUGGCUACAAAAUCAGCAACCAAAGGAAAAAUACAGACAUUUCAGAGUAUUUGUUUUAAUUUAUGCCCAAAUUGGCAGCAAAUGAAAGUCCCCAUCUUAUGACUGCAUGUUUCUUUGUCUGAGAUAAUGACUAUAUAUAUUCAGACACAUGAAACUGUGAAUUGAGGGUCACAUCAUAGCAGUCAGCUCCAUCACCUUUUGUGAACAAACGGGCUACUUAACUCUGAUGUCAGUGAUGAUUAGAUCAGGUUCUCAGAUUAUCUCUGAAUAACAAAUGCUUGCUCAAUCAAAAUAAAUUACUCACUUGGGGCUACUUCUGUAAAAAAGAGCCUAUAUGCAAAAGAGACGUAGUACCCAGUUGCCUCAGUAUCUGUUUUAUUUGCUUGUUAAAGCUGUGUGCCUAUCAAUUCCACCAUAUAACAAUCUUGAACAGAAGCAGCUGCAUCAGAAAUGUUAAGGUCAAGCAUGUAGAGUUAGAAAAUGCUACUAAAUGCCAUCGUGACAGUGUUUUAGGAAAUAACUUUGAUAAUAUUUUUACAUCCUGUGUUUCCGUAGGUCUUCAUUCUCACCCAAGGGACAGAAUAGCCUUAAACACCAGACAAGCUAUGGAAAGUGUCCUUUGACAUACGGUAUUCAGUGCACAGCUCUAGGCUCCAUGCAAGAGUUGAAACCCUUCUCUGAACAGAUUUACUGAUUUUCUCAUGAGCAUUUUCUUGUAGCACCAUCCAUGCCUCACAUACAAUAAAUAAUUUUUCACAAAAGCUUCAAAAAAUAACCAUUUAUCUCCAGGUAGGGGAGCAGAAAUUAAAGGAAAUAUUCUCCAUCGACUUGAGGUGCCAAAUCUGAUCCUUACAGUUAAAUUUUCGCAAAAAGGAAAGCCAAGGUAUCAUUACUUUCAACUUCAUGGCUCUGCACUUUGCAGAUCAGAUCCUGUGGUCCCAAAAGAGCUUUCCUUCAAUGUGAGGACAUAUUUCGUAAAAGUCUGUGGGUAAAUGCCUUGACAAAUAUUACACAGGAAUUCUGUGCUGCAGGCAAGGACAGAAUCUAGUCCCACAGCACUCAGCUGCUGCAAUUCCACAUUUUACAAUUCUGUAUUCAACUGCCUGAAACAAAAGACCGUUUUUCCUUUCUCUAUAGACCACUCCAUCAUAAGUAGAGAUCAGAAGACAAAGCCUCUUUCACUACACAAUUCUUAGUCUUCUUCAGAACUCUAUCCAUCCUUCACAUUUUCCUGUGGGAAAAAUAAUUAAUAAAGGGCUGUAUAAUAACAGAGACACAGAAGAAGGUUGAAUUGAGAUUGCAUAGGGAGUCUCAGUUUCAGUGUUUUUCUUCUUGCUACCAUAAUGUUCUCUCAGUGCACUUUCUAGGCAGUAAUUUCUUAGGCUUUUAAGAAAAGCAUGCACAAACCCCAAACAUUCUUUAAUGUGGAAUUGCAAACUAUGUCUACACAUAACCUCCCUACACACACAGUAAGGUUAGGAGCAGGCCCAAGGCUGGGAAAGCCACGCCUGGUCUACCCACAUUAUUGACUGUGGACUUUUGUAGCUUGGCUGAGAACAUUAAAAUCACUCAGAAGCAGCCAGCCUCGGGGUAUCUUCUAGUGGAUGGGCCUGUAAGCAUGCUUGGCUCAGGAUAUUCCUGACCCACACAAAAUGGGUAAAAAAGAGCUUGGCUCUGCUACAAAACAUCUAGAACAUCCAAACCUUCUCCUUUGGGAGGUCUCUGCAGCCAGCUUCAUGUGAGACUUCCAGUCAGGCCUGAUUUAAAGAGGCUGUUCUGAAAUGUCAGGAACACCUCAGCUUUUAAAGGAAAGUAUUCACUAUUUUGCCUGAAUUUCUCUCUGUUCCUCCCAGGAUUUUGCCCUGGGAACUUACCCUUUGUCCUUUAUAUCAUGUCUAAGGCCCUGUAAAAUAGUCUUUUGCGCAUUUUCCUGCCAGUCUCAAUACUAAAAUGUACCACGAUAAUCUAGUAAAUUCCAGUAAACUCUAUUUAAUCUAUUGUGCAUGGUAACUGAUACAAAAGAAACAUCUAUGGAAUGAAGUUGUAUGAUGCGCUAAUUGUGAACCCCACGAAGCAGCAAAUCCAUUUCAGAUUCCUUUAAUACAUACUUGUUUUUAACUCUAUAUGGCACUGUUUUAAAAUAGGUAACUAAGCAAUAAAAAGGGAAAAACUGCAGUAAAUCAUGCCAACAUUCUGAUUCUUAUUAGGCAGUCAUGCAAAUUGUUAUACUCCAGCAGAAAAAUAAUCUGUAUGUAGUCGAGAUAAGCGGCUCCACGUGAAUGCGGGGAUCCAAUGCAGAGAUAUUACCAUGAAGAGCCAGCAAAGAGCCCUGGAAAAGUCCUUAUGGCUCAGAUGUUCUGGGGAAUCAGAAACAGGGCAGAGAGAUUCGCUGAAGUGUGCAUGUGCAUCUGUAUGUGCAGUCUCUACCGGAAUCCAAUUAAUAUGAACUGUAUCGAUCCAAUAUUCUAGAAAUAAAGGAUGCAUAUAAAAUUA